rnacentral:rRNA from 1 species
GAUGAACGCUGGCGGCGUGCCUAAUACAUGCAAGUCGAGCGAACAGACGAGGAGCUUGCUCCUUUGAUGUUAGCGGCGGACGGGUGAGUAACACGUAGGUAACCUACCUAUAAGACUGGGAUAACUUCGGGAAACCGGAGCUAAUACCGGAUAAUAUUUCGAACCGCAUGGUUCGAUAGUGAAAGAUGGCUUUGCUAUCACUUAUAGAUGGACCUGCGCCGUAUUAGCUAGUUGGUAAGGUAACGGCUUACCAAGGCAACGAUACGUAGCCGACCUGAGAGGGUGAUCGGCCACACUGGAACUGAGACACGGUCCAGACUCCUACGGGAGGCAGCAGUAGGGAAUCUUCCGCAAUGGGCGAAAGCCUGACGGAGCAACGCCGCGUGAGUGAUGAAGGUCUUCGGAUCGUAAAACUCUGUCAUUAGGGAAGAACAAACGUGUAAGUAACUGUGCACGUCUUGACGGUACCUAAUCAGAAAGCCACGGCUAACUACGUG